CCAAAUUUCCGGGUUAUUUUUGCCACGUGAGCUUUUAUUAACGGAAGUGUUAAUUAUUUGACAGAAUGGAUUUAUUUGGCAAACAGAGCAAAAAGUGAGGGACUAAAACGCCUGUUUUUAUUAAUUAUGGGACCAAAAUAAAAACAUGAAAUUGUUUAGGGGACCAAACGAUCUAAUAAGCCAAAAUUAAAAAACCAGAAAUUUUAAAUUCAACAAAAAUGGUUCAUCUUCCUCCCUCCCUCAUAUUCUUCAUCAUCUUUACUAGACAAAUUAAAAACACAUUAAAUCAAAAAUUUAAAAUUCAAAUUAUGUUUUUAAAAACCCAAUCUUCAUGUCUUCUUCUCUCAAAAAACCAUUAUUUCGAUGCCCAUUUAUGAAUUUCCAUCUUGGAUCUUUGCUUCUUCCUUCAUCAUGUUUUUGCAGCAAAUCCCUAAAUCAUUCAACACCUAAUAUUCAAGCAAAAGUGCAGUAAUUCUCUCCUAACUCUUUUUCUCUGAUUGUCCUUCACCAAAAAAUCAUAUCAUUCCAAUUCUUUUAUCCCAACUCUUCUUCCUCUUCCAUUCAUCAAUUCCAUAUUCAAUGAAGAAAAAAGAUGAUGGAUGUUAAGAAGAAACACGGAGAUCCACUCCUAAUUCUAAUUCCAAAAUGCUUGCUACAGUAAAUUGAAAUUCUCCUUCUAAACUGUCAGCUAUGACGAGGAUCUCGGAAAUGUGUUGUGUUGAUUCAUGGAUUCAAUUGUUGUUGUUGUUGAUUCAUGGAUUCAAUCAAUUUCAUUUGGGUUUGAGGAUUUUCUUAUGGAUUUAAUCAAUUGUUGUUUGUUGCUGGAUUUCAUUGAGGGAAACAACGCUCAAUGUUCCUACGAUGAAGGUUUGGAUUUAUGAAGAUUUAUGCAUAAUUUUAACUCAAUGUUUUGUGUUGUUGUUAGAAGAUUUAUGGGUAUGAUGAUAUUAUGUGUUUCUGUUAAAGGUAGUGAUGAGAGGGUGAAGAUGAUGUAGUGAUUUAAGAAGAAAACGCUAGGUUGUAUUUUUACUAGUUUUAUGAGGAAGGUUUUUGUUUGGUUACAUGAGAAAAGUUGUAUGAUGAAUUAGGUUUUAAUGAAGAUGAUGAAGAUGUGGAAAAAAAAUAUAAAAUUUUCAGAUCCAAUGAAAUAAUGACACGUG
rnacentral:lncRNA from 1 species